AGGAGGACCUGCUGCCUGAGGAGAGGGAGGUUCCUCUGCUAAACCUCUACCUUACCACCAAGAGAGUGGAGGACAUCGGCCUGAGGCUCGUCUCCCUGCGCCAGGCCUUUACUACCCUGCUCGGUUCCACCCUGAGUAGGAACCAUCUGUUUGUGGCGGGAAAGGUCCUACUGGGCGCACUGGUUCAGGUCCACCAGAUGGUAGCUCACUAACUCAUUGUCCUUCAAGGGAAAGAGAGCGUCCUCGGUGGGAAAUGUGU